UACGGGGGGGGCUAGUGUUGUUCGGAAUCACUGGGCUUAAAGGGCGCGUAGGCGGGCAGUCAAGUCAGGGGUGAAAUCCCGCGGCUCAACCGCGGAAGUGCCUUUGAUACUGGCUGUCUGGAGGGAGGUAGGGGCGUGCGGAACUUCCGGUGGAGCGGUGAAAUGCGUAGAUAUCGGAAGGAACGCCGGUGGCGAAAGCGGCGCGCUGGACCUCUUCUGACGCUGAGGCGCGAAAGCCAGGGGAGCAAACGGG
rnacentral:rRNA from 1 species